AUAAACGUCGUGAAUGUGAUACCUAUAACCUGACCAGCCAGGCAGAGGAGGAGGACGAUGAGGUGAUUAGAACGACGAGAAAGCGCACUAAAAAAGGAAUUCCGGAGGGUUUUGUUAGAAAUGAAUUAACAGAUUCGGAUGAGGAGAUUGUCAGGGGCGUCAAGCUACCCACCUUCCCUAUUGCACCAAGGAAGCUGCAGCCCAUUGAGGACACCAACAGGUUGCACAAUACUUGUGAGUAGUGAUGACAACUUAAGCAUGAUAAUGUGUUGACUACAACAUGAGUCACAGGCAGAUUGAUGUGUUUCAGCCUCUGAAAAUGAAGCCAUGUCUGUCCAA